AAUCAACGCUGGCGGCGUGCCUAACACAUGCAAGUCGAACGCGGUUUCUCCCGCAAGGGAGAAACUGAGUGGCGAACGGGUGAGUAACGCGUGGGUGACCUACCUUCGAAUGGGGGAUAACGUCCCGAAAGGGACGCUAAUACCGCAUACGUCCUACGGGAGAAAGCAGGGGAUCACUUGUGACCUUGCGCUAAUAGAUGAGCCUAAGUCGGAUUAGCUAGUUGGUGGGGUAAAGGCCUACCCAGGCGACGAUCUGUAGCGGGUCUGAGAGGAUGUUCCGCCACACGGGGACUGAGAACCGGCGCAGAUUCCUACGGGAGGCAGCAGUGGGGAAUAUUGGACAAUGGGGGGAACCCUGAUCCAGGCAUGCCGCGUGUGUGAAGAAGGCCUUAUGGUUGUAAAGCACUUUAAGCGAGGAGGAGGCUCUUUUGGUUAAUACCCAAGAUGAGUGGACGUUACUCGCAGAAUAAGCACCGGCUAACUCUGUGCCAGCCGCCGCAGUAA
rnacentral:rRNA from 1 species